AUCCUUUUGUAGUUCAAAGCAUGAUAAUUGGGUUUUUACAAGCAUAUAUGAGAUAUGCCUCCCUCAAACCUUGUUAUGACGUUAGCACAUUAUCCCUCUGACA